UUAUGGCUCAGGAUGAACGCUAGCUACAGGCGUUAACACAUGCAAGUCGAGGGGCAGCAUGAUCAAGCUUGCUUUGAUUGGUGGCGACCGGCGCACGGGUGAGUAACGCGUAUCCAACCUUCCCUAUAGUAGAGGAUAGCCCGGCGAAAGUCGGAUUAAUACUCUAUGUUGUAUUUUGCGGACAUCUAACGAAUACCAAAGGUUUACCGCUAUAGGAUGGGGAUGCGUCUGAUUAGGUUGUUGGCGGGGUAACGGCCCACCAAGCCUUCGAUCAGUAGGGGUUCUGAGAGGAAGGUCCCCCACAUUGGAACUGAGACACGGUCCAAACUCCUACGGGAGGCAGCAGUGAGGAAUAUUGGUCAAUGGGCGAGAGCCUGAACCAGCCAAGUAGCGUGCAGGAUGACGGCCCUAUGGGUUGUAAACUGCUUUUAUACAGGGAUAAAGUGGGGAACGUGUUCCCUCUUGUAGGUACUGUAUGAAUAAGGACCGGCUAAUUCCGUGCCAGCAGCUGC
rnacentral:rRNA from 1 species